AUGUUGACCGGGUUGACUUUGAAGGAGGUCAAGAAUGGCAACUAUGGGCGCGAGUUCGUGAAAUGCGAGAGCAAGCUAGACAGGCAGAUCGUGAAGAAAUGCACACAUUUUGAAUGGUUGGAUGACUACGUUAAGCGGAUUCAAUUCAAUGGGGCCCCAACCCGGGAGCUCAAUCUACCGUCAGCACCAACGAAUUUAGUCUCUGAAAGUGCUGCUCUGACAGAUGGGGAUGCAGAUCUGAAGGGGGAAUUAAAUUAG
rnacentral:rRNA from 1 species